GAUGAACGCUAGCUACAGGCUUAACACAUGCAAGUCGAGGGGUAACGAGAGGAAAGCUUGCUUUCCUUGUCGACGACCGGCGCACGGGUGAGUAACGCGUAUCCAACCUGCCCCCAACUAGGGAAUAACCUUGCGAAAGUAAGACUAAUACCCUAUAAUUUCCUCAGAUGACAUCUGACGAGGAAUAAAGAUUUAUCGGUUGUGGAUGGGGAUGCGUCUGAUUAGCUUGUUGGCGGGGUAACGGCCCACCAAGGCAACGAUCCGUAGGGGUUCGGAGAAGAAGGUCCCCCACAUUGGAACUGAGACACGGUCCAAACUCCUACGGGAGGCCGCCGUGAGGAAUAUUGGUCAAUGGGCGGAAGCCUGAACCAGCCAAGUAGCGUGCAGGAUGACGGCCCUAUGGGUUGUAAACUGCUUUUAUACAGGAAUAAAGUUAGCCACGUGUGGUUAUUUGUAGGUACUGCAUGAAUAAGGACCGGCUAAUUCCGUGCCAGCCGCCGCAGUAA
rnacentral:rRNA from 1 species